GUGGGGAAUAUUGCGCAAUGGGGGCAACCCUGACGCAGCAAUACCGCGUGAGUGAAGAAGGUUUUCGGAUCGUAAAACUCUUUUAUUGGGGAAGAAGAAGUGACGGUACCCAAUGAAGAAGUCCCGGCUAACUACGUGCCAGCAGCCGCGGUAAUACGUAGGGGACAAGCGUUGUCCGGAAUCACUGGGCGUAAAGGGCGCGUAGGCGGUUUUAUAAGUCAGAUGUGAAAGGUACCGGCUCAACCGGUGACGUGCAUUUGAAACUGUAAGACUUGAGUACUGGAGAGGCAAGUGGAAUUCCUAGUGUAGCGGUGAAAUGCGUAGAUAUUAGGAGGAACACCGGUGGCGAAGGCGGCUUGCUGGACAGAUACUGACGCUGAGGUGCGAAAGCGUGGGGAGCGAACGGGAUUAGAUACCCGUGUAGUCC
rnacentral:rRNA from 1 species